rnacentral:rRNA from 1 species
CAGGAUGAACGCUGGCGGCAGGCUUAACACAUGCAAGUCGAGCGGUAACAUUUCUAGCUUGCUAGAAGAUGACGAGCGGCGGACGGGUGAGUAAUACUUAGGAAUCUACCUAGUAGUGGGGGAUAGCACGGGGAAACUCGUAUUAAUACCGCAUACGACCUACGGGAGAAAGGGGGCAGUUUACUGCUCUCGCUAUUAGAUGAGCCUAAGUCGGAUUAGCUAGAUGGUGGGGUAAAGGCCUACCAUGGCGACGAUCUGUAGCUGGUCUGAGAGGAUGAUCAGCCACACCGGGACUGAGACACGGCCCGGACUCCUACGGGAGGCAGCAGUGGGGAAUAUUGGACAAUGGGGGAAACCCUGAUCCAGCCAUGCCGCGUGUGUGAAGAAGGCCUUUUGGUUGUAAAGCACUUUAAGUCAGUGAAGAAGACUCCUCGGUUAAUACCCGUGGACGAUGACAUUAGCUGCAGAAUAAGCACCGGCUAACUCUGUGCCAGCAGCCGCGGUAAUACAGAGGGUGCAAGCGUUAAUCGGAAUUACUGGGCGUAAAGGGAGCGUAGGUGGCUCGAUAAGUCAGAUGUGAAAUCCCCGGGCUCAACCUGGGAACUGCAUCUGAUACUGUUGAGCUAGAGUAUGUGAGAGGAAGGUAGAAUUCCAGGUGUAGCGGUGAAAUGCGUAGAGAUCUGGAGGAAUACCGAUGGCGAAGGCAGCCUUCUGGCAUAAUACUGACACUGAGGCUCGAAAGCGUGGGUAGCAAACAGGAUUAGAUACCCUGGUAGUCCACGCCGUAAACGAUGUCUACUAGUCGUUGGGUCCCUUGAGGACUUAGUGACGCAGCUAACGCAAUAAGUAGACCGCCUGGGGAGUACGGCCGCAAGGUUAAAACUCAAAUGAAUUGACGGGGGCCCGCACAAGCGGUGGAGCAUGUGGUUUAAUUCGAUGCAACGCGAAGAACCUUACCUGGUCUUGACAUAUCUAGAAUCCUDCAGAGAUGCGGGAGUGCCUUCGGGAAUUAGAAUACAGGUGCUGCAUGGCUGUCGUCAGCUCGUGUCGUGAGAUGUUGGGUUAAGUCCCGCAACGAGCGCAACCCUUGUCCUUAGUUACCAGCSGGUUAAGYYGGGAACUCUAASGAUACUGCCAGUGACAAACURGAGGAAGGCGGGGACGACGUCAAGUCAUCAUGGCCCUUACGACCAGGGCUACACACGUGCUACAAUGGUAGGUACAGAGGGCAGCUACACAGCGAUGUGAUGCGAAUCUCAAAAAGCCUAUCGUAGUCCAGAUUGGAGUCUGCAACUCGAUCUCCAUGAAGUAGGAAUCGCUAGUAAUCGCGGAUCAGAAUGCCGCGGUGAAUACGUUCCCGGGCCUUGUACACACCGCCCGUCACACCAUGGGAGUUGAUUGCACCAGAAGUGGAUAGCUUAACCUUCGGGAAGGCGUUCACCACGGUGUGGUUGAUGACUGGGGUGAAGUCGUAACAAGGUAGCCGUAGGGGAACCUGCGGCUGGAUCAC